AGUUGGUAAGGUAACGGCUUACCAAGGCGACGAUGUUUAGGGGACCUGAGAGGGUUGUCCCCCACACUGGUACUGAGACACGGACCAGACUCCUACGGGAGGCAGCAGUGAGGAAUAUUGGUCAAUGGGCGCAAGCCUGAACCAGCCAUCCCGCGUGAAGGAAGAAUGCGCUACGCGUUGUAAACUUCUUUUCCAGGGGGAGAAUAAUCCUGUCGUGACAGGACUUGACGGUACUCUGGGAAUAAGCAUCGGCUAACUCCGUGCCAGCAGCCGCGGUAAUACGGAGGAUGCGAGCGUUAUCCGGAUUUAUUGGGUUUAAAGGGUGCGUAGGCGGAUUGAUAAGUCAGUGGUGAAAUUCUACAGCUUAACUGUAGACUUGCCGUUGAUACUGUUAGUCUUGAGUGUGGUCAAGGCAGGCGGAAUGUGUAAUGUAGCGGUGAAAUGCUUAGAUAUUACACAGAACACCGAUUGCGAAGGCAGCUUGCUGGGUCAUUACUGACGCUGAUGCACGAAAGCGUGGGGAUCAAACAGGAUUAGAUACCCUGGUAGUCCACGCCGUAAACUAUGAUCACUCGCUGUUGGCGAUACACAGUC
rnacentral:rRNA from 1 species